rnacentral:lncRNA from 1 species
UCAUCAUCUGUUUCUUAAGAAUUAACUUUAGAAUACAAAUCCUAAACAAUAAUUUCUGUUUGUGAAGCAAUUAUCCCCAAAGAAGGGCAUCAAAUUUUUCACUCAGAGCAAUGUAAAUUCUUAGGGGCACUUACUUCCAACCAUGUCAGGACCACAUCACUCACUUUUUUUCUCUUUUCCUUUUACAUGUCCACGAACUCUUCUUCUUCACUAAAUAUCCUAAAACAUUAAAGUGUCAGGGACAUCUUAAAUUUAUUAGAUUUUCUUUUGUCCCUUGAAGUUCUUUCUGAGGCUCUGAGUAUGCAGCAACUAGGCCUGUAUAUGGGAUAACUUCCUCACAUUCUUAUAUUUUGGUUUCAUCCUUUGCUUCAUAAUUUUUCCUUUUAAAAAAUCCUAACUUUUCUCCAUAUUCUUUCUACCUCUAGCUUCUUAACGUUGUCCUCAAAAAGCUCUUGAACAUUAAAUAAUACAUUGGGCAUAUUCACUCAUUCAUUCAUGCACUUUUUCAUUUGUUCAUUAUGAGUGAAUGUCAACUAUUUGCCAGGCUCUACUCCAGAUUUCAGAAAUACUUCAGUAAAGAGAACAAAAAGUGUCCCAUCCUCAUGCUAUGAAGAAUACAUGAAAAAAAACCCCACCCACAAACCAACCAGCUAACCAAGGAACGUGAUAGUGAUCACACAAUGGGAGAAGAGAUACAUGAUGAAGCCAACGUCUUUGAAAGGAUGGUGUUGGAGCAGAGACCUGAAGGUGGGAAGAGCUGACUCUGAGAACAUCUGUAUUGGAGGCAGAAGGAACAUAAAUUGAAGAGCCUCAGGUGAGGACUAAAUGAUGCUUUAAAAAAGACAGAAAGAAAACCAGAACUCCUGAAAUGUGGUUAUCAAGCAUGAGAUAACAUGCAAGCUCGGAGUUCUGUGCAACGGAGAUGAGAAUCCAUCCUCAUCAUUUAAUAAAUAACUGAAGAGUGUCAGGAAGCUCAGAGGGUCUCUAAGAAGGCUAAGAGUCAGGCCCAGCUGUGUAGACCAGAAAACCACCCACAGAGGGAGGGUUUCCUUAGGGAUAACCUUGCCAUCACUCUUGCUGAGCACAAGCACAGCAGCUCAGCCUUUGAGAGUGAACGCACUAGUUUCCACAAGUACCCCUGCCAAACAAUGGAUUCUACAUGAUAUGUACUCACUUCACCCCACUGAUUAAUGUUCAGCCAUAAAAAGAAUGAAAAAAUGCCACCAUUUGCAGCAACAUGGACAGAUCUAGAAAUUAUUAUACUAAGUGAAGUUAAACAGACAGUGAGAGACAAACAUCAUAUGAUAUCACUUAUAUGUGGAAUCUAAGGAUACAAAUGAACUUAUUUGCAGAAUAGAAACAUACUCAUAGACUUUGAAAAACUUAUGUUUACCAAAGGGGACAGGUGGGGGGGUUGGAUAUAAUAUGAAAGAAUAAGAGAAUUGAGACUAAGUCUAUCACUUCCCUAGAACUCUGAGGUGGACAUCACUGAGCACUGAAAAUAGCAUGGAUUAUUACAAAUUUAGCAGAAAUGAAUGGUUCUCUCAAAUGUCAUUCAAAUCUUACACCCUAUUGUUGCAACUACCAUACCGCUAACGAAGCCAGAAUCAUUUUUAAAAUGUACUUGAAAGUGGAGACAUUUAAAAUUCAACAUUUACCAAAAAAGAGAAGAAAAGAAAAGAAAUAACAGCCAAAAUAAAAUAUAAUAAAUAAUGUAAAAUAAAUAAAAUUGGCAUUCAAGUAAGAUUCACUGGGUUUAAAUUUGACUAAGUUGAAGGAUUGCUUAUACUGAUCUAACCAAAAAGAAAUCUUGAAGUUAUUCCAGGCAUUUUUAUUUUUUGAGGAAAAUACUUUGUUAGUGAAAUCAAAGUUAAAAUACUUUAACACAGAACCAGAUGUUAGUAUGACACAAUUAAAUGUAAUUUACUCAUUAAUUUUAUAGUUUUCAUUAAAUACAAUUUGUAAACUUACAAACAAAAAAGAAAACAAAAUUUUCUUCACAAAUUUAAAAUGCAUUAUAUUUUCAGGUUAACUGGUCAUGUUCAGAACCCUGCUUUUUCCCUUCUGUGAUUAGACAAGGAUUUACCAGAUACUUGUUACCAGAUAAUGUAAUGAAGCAAAAUUCUGGACCUUUUAGGCCUUCAUCUAAUGUCUUAGAUUAAAAAUGACUUUUUUUUCAAAACUCCAUUUUGUAUAUGGUUAGGAAGUAAAUUCCAUUCAUCCCACAUAAAUGUCAACAUAUUGUAAGCAAAACACUUUGCUGUUUCAAGGCAGUGGGAAGGAUGUCUGUGUAUCAAAAUCACAUGGAGAAAUGUGCUAAAAUAAAAACUCAGGAAUUCUCUGCAAGUUUCUGACUCCUUAUUAUCUCUCAUGGGCUCAGGGGCCUAAUGAAUCAAAUAUGUUCAUCUGUAAUUGAAUGUAAUUGCAAUCUGUCCCUUAAGCAGAUCACUUAGUAAAAUCACAUGAUUUUCAUCUCAUCAGAGAUAUACAGAGGAAGAGUGUGUAUAAAAAUAGAACCCAAACUUUCUGCAAAAGCUAUUUAAAUAGUUAACAAAGGACAUGAUGAAAACUUAUUUUUCUGAAAACAUUUCUAUAGAAAUGUCCUUUCAUUCCUCUGCUAAAGUCUCCAUUGGCAAAAUAUAAUUAAAAGAUUAUUUUAACUGGUGCAACUAGAGAUUCUCAUACUAAGUGAAGUAAGUCAGAAGAGAAAGACAAAUACCAUAUGAUAUCACUUAUAAUGUGGUAUCUAAAAUAAGACACAAAUGAACCUAUGAAAAAGAAACAGACUCACAGACAUAGAAAACAGACUCAUGGUUGCCAAGGAGGGAAUGGGAGGGACUGGGAGUUUGAGGGUAGUAGGUGCAAACUAUUUAGAAUGGAUUACCAAUGAGAUCCUACUGUAUAGCUCAGAGAACUAUAUCCAGGCUUUUGGGAUAGAGCAUGAUGGAAGAUAGUAUAAGAAAGGGAAUGUUGGCAUAUGUAUGACUGGAUCACUUUGCUACACAGAAGAAAUUGGCAUAACAUUGAAAAUCAACAAUAUUUUAUUCUUGUUAUUUAUUUUAUUCUUUUUUUUGUCUUUUUCUAGGGCCGCAUCUGUGGCAUAUGGAGGUUCCCAGGCUAGGGGUCCAAUCAGAGCGGAAGCCGCCAGCCUACGCCAGAGCCACAACAAUGCCAGAUCUGAUCCGCGUCUGCAACCUACACCAGAGCUCACAGCAAUGCCAUAUGCUUAACCCACUGAGCGAGGCCAGGGAUCGAACCCACAACCUCAUGGUUCCUAGUCGGAUUUGUUAACUACUGAGCCAUGACGGGAACUCUGAAAAUCAACAAUAUUUUUAGAAAAAAAUGAAAAAAAAUUUAAAAAUGAUUAUAAGCUGACAAAUAUUAUGAGGUGGUAUUCAAAAAUAAUACAAUGUGUAAAUAAAAGCUAGAAAUAAUUUUGGAAAACCAGAAAUAUAUACUAAUCUCUAGGACACAAAAUAACAAUUUAAACAACAUUGGAAAUGAGAAAGAGACUAUCAUAAUAUAAAAGAUUUUUAUAAGUGAAUCAUGUUAAAAUUAUAGUUAAUAGAUAUGAAAUCUAUAUGUUUUUUGAAAAUGCAUCAAUUCCCUAAACCAAAGCUAUUGGAAAGUGAAGUCUAAUAAUUACAAAAAAUUAGGUUAAAUUAUCAAUAUCUUGCCUCCUUAAAGGAAUUCUGAGUUAUGCGGUAUUAACACCUAAAAUAACAAAGCUGCUUUUGCUAUAGAAUCUCUUCCUGAAAAAAAAAAAAUCAGCAAGAAUCCUGAAUAUAACAAAGAUCAAUAGAAGCGAUCAACAAAAUUUAUUUAAAAGACACACAUAAAACCAAAACUGAUUGAGGAAAAAAAUAAAGCUAAGUCUUAAAUAAAUUUUUUUUGGUUUUUUUUUUGGUCUUUUUGCUAUUUCUUGGGCCGCUUCCGUGGCAUAUGGUGGUUCCCAGGCUAGGGGUCGAAUCGGAGCCGUAGCUGCCGGCCUUAUGCCACAGCCACAGCAACACCGGAUCCGAGUCGCAUCUGCGACCUACACCACAGCUCAUGGCAACGCCGGAUCCUUAACCCACUGAGUAAGGCCAGGGAUCGAACCUGCAACCUCAUGGUUCUUAGUCGGAUUCGUUAACCACUGAGCCACAACGAGAACUCCUAGAGUAGAGAUUUUUAAAGAUCAUGAAAUUAUUCUGAAAAACCUCACCUCAAUGAAUUGGGAACUUUAAAAAUGAAUACAGAUAUACAGAAAAAUGCAAAUUACCAAGGCCAACUCAAGACAAUAUAGACUGUGUCUAGCUAUUAUUUAGGAUCAGAUUUUUAGCCAGAAGUAAGAAAGAGUCCCCACAAAGGGUUCUUGCAAAUUAGAAUUCUUCUGUUGUCAUGUAAAAGGCAGUUCAAGUCUAUGGGGUGCCCAUGUUCCAGCUCCCUGCUCUGCUAGCCCUAAAGUUUGGUUCUUGUAUCUAUGCUCCAAAGUCAUGUCUAGAUCUGUAGCAUCACUGCAAAAACAAACAAACAAGCAGAUAAAAACAGUUUGAGUAAAGAAAACUGCACAUUCAUCUCACUGAUAAACUUAUGUAGAAAUACCUUAAAUAAAAUAGUCACAUGGGAGUUCCUGUUGUGGCUCAGUGGUUAAUGAACCUGACUAGUAUCCAUGAGAAUGUGGGUUCAAUCCCUGACCUCACUCAUUGGGUUAAGGAUCCAGUGUUGCCAUGAGCUGUGGUGUAGGUCACAGACAUGCCUUGGAUCCUGCAUUGCUGUGGCUGUGGUGUAGGUCAUCAUCUCCAAUUCUCUAACCUGAGAAUCUCCAUAUGCUAUGGAUGUGGCCCUAAAAAGAC